GCUGUCCAUUGAAUGAAGUAAGUUAUGUGUUAAUGUUGUAUUCACAUUGUUGUGAUGAUUUUAUUGUUGCUUUGAAGUUUGUGGAGCACAAAUACCCCAGUACUUUUGGAUAAAAAUGAUAAUGAAAAAAUAUUCCCGUUUAAACUUUCAGUUUUUAAUAAAGAUAUUCCAGUGUUCAAAUUAACCAUUAAAGUGGUCUUUCUUAAAGUUGUCAAACAAGAACCAAAGUGUACCUUUUAAACUUUAAAAUAUCAAUUGAACAUUUAAUUAGAAACCUUUGGUUUAAACAUUUAUGCGUGUUUCUGAAUUCCUUUCAUUAAAAUUGAGUAAAUAAAAUCUCACUCUAUUUAAACAAUUUUGUGUUGUAAAAAAACCACAAAAACAUACAAUUAAGUACUUGACCUAUAGUAUAGAAACUUGUUUUUGUUGGAGACUAUAUUGACCUCUGGGGUCCAGGUUUUUUGUGUUGUUUAGUUGCUGUCUCAAUAACAUAAUCCCUAAAAUCAUUUUCAAUUAAUCAUAGACAAAGGACAAAUUAUAAAAAACCCAGAAUAACCAAAUCCUUCAUAUUAACUUAUAAUAACUGUUAAAUUUUCCUUCAAAUUAAAUAUAUGUUUCACACAUCUCCUUCGUUUAGAUAAAUUUUAAAGUGAAACAGAAAAUGGAAGCCAAAUAUUUAAAAUUUAGAUUAAUUGAAAUAGCCUCCCUUCUUAAAAAAAAAUAUAGAACAAAUUUUAACAGAAAAAAGGGGGACGGAAACCUAAAGAUACAGAAUUAAAAUAAAGGGAUAAAAAGAUCCUCCGUCCUUUUCUAAACUUCUUUUUAAAGUUUUAAAUUUGGUAAAUUAGAUGUUCCCUGAAUUUAGAGUAUCCAUGGGAACAUGUCCUAUUUUUACCAGAAAUCAAUAUACCCAUAGGAACAUUACGGUACAUGUUCCUCUCCAAAGUAAUAAAGGUAUCCAUUGGAACAUCACAUGUUCCUCUCCAAAGUAAUGAAGGUAUCCAUAGGAACAUCACAUGUUCCUCUCCAAAGUAAUGAAGGUAUCCAUAGGAACAUCACAUGUUCCGCUCAAAAGUAAUGAAGGUAUCCAUAGGAACAUCACAUGUUCCGCUCAAAAGUAAUGAAGGUAUCCAUAGGAACAUCACAUGUUCCUCUCCAAAGUAAUGAAGGUAUCCAUAGGAACAUCACAUGUUCCUCUCCAAAGUAAUGAAGGUAUCCAUUGGAACAUCACAUGUUCCUCUCCAAAGUAAUGAAGGUAUCCAUAGGAACAUCACAUGUUCCUCUCCAAAGUAAUGAAGGUAUCCAUAGGAACAUCACAUGUUCCUCUCCAAAGUAAUAAAGGUAUCCAUAGGAACAUCACAUGUUCCUCUCCAAAGUAAUGAAGGUAUCCAUAGGAACAUCACAUGUUCCUCUCCAAAGAAAUAAAGGUAUCCAUAGGAACAUCACAUGUUCCUCUCCAAAGUAAUGAAGGUAUCCACAGUAACAUCCCAUGUGUCUUACCAAUGUAAAUAAGGUAUCCAUAGGAACAUGGGAGCCUCGGUGGCCAAGUGGUCUAAGUAGUUAUAACUGUAAUCACUAGCCAGUCAACACUGAGGUUGUGAAUUCAAACCCCGCUCGUGCGGGUGCACAUGACUCCAAUCUUUAUUGACUUAGGGUUGUCAGUUUUCCUAUUGAAGGUCAGUGGUUUUCUCCAGGCACUCUGGCUUCCUCCACCAAUACAAACUGGCCGCCAUGAAAUAGCCAAAGUAGUGCUUAAAAGUGGCGUUAAAACACCAAAAAAUCAAAUUCAAAUCCAUAGGUGCACUGCAUGCUCCAAAUUUACUGGUAUCUGAUAUCCAUUGGAAUCCAAAUUUAGUUGUUCAGUUUGUAUUGAUGACAGAAUUGGCUUUACAAUGAACUUUGAACUCAAAGAAAUGGAUACACAUGUUUCAGAAAAAUAAGUUUGGUACCUAUAUCUCUUUUCACACUUUUGUUGUUUUU